rnacentral:rRNA from 1 species
CUGAACCUACGGGGGGCAGCAGUGAGGAAUAUUGGUCAAUGGGCUUACGCCUGAACCAGCCAAGUCGCGUGAGGGAAGACUGCCCUAUGGGCUGUAAACCUCUUUUGUCAGGGAGCAACGCCGGCUACGUGUAGCCGGACUGAGAGUACCUGAAGAAAAAGCAUCGGCUAACUCCGUGCCAGCAGCCGCGGUAAUACGGAGGAUGCGAGCGUUAUCCGGAUUUACUGGGUGUAAAGGGCGUGUAGGCGGGAAAGCAAGUCAGAUGUGAAAACCAUGGGCUCAACCUGUGGCCUGCAUUUGAAACU